ACGAACGCUGGCGGCGUGCUUAACCCAUGCAAGUCGCGCGGUAAGGCCCCUUCGGGGGUACACGAGCGGCGAACGGGUGAGUAACACGUGAGCAAUCUGCCCAUCACAUCGGGAUAACUCCGGGAAACCGAAGCUAAUACCGAAUACGACCACCUCCGGCAUCGGAUGGUGGUGGAAAGUUCCGGCGGUGAUGGAUGAGCUCGCGGCCUAUCAGCUUGUUGGUGGGGUAACGGCCCACCAAGGCUUCGACGGGUAGCCGGCCUGAGAGGGUGACCGGCCACACUGGGACUGAGACACGGCCCAGACUCCUACGGGAGGCAGCAGUGGGGAAUAUUGGACAAUGGGCGAAAGCCUGAUCCAGCAACGCCGCGUGAGGGAUGACGGCCUUCGGGUUGUAAACCUCUUUCAGCAGGGACGAAGCGCAAGUGACGGUACCUGCAGAAGAAGCACCGGCCAACUACGUG
rnacentral:rRNA from 1 species